rnacentral:lncRNA from 1 species
GCGCUCCGGCGGAAGGGUGGAGUUAAGGGUGGAAACCGAUUGGAAAAGCUCCCUCUCACUCCCAGGAGCUCAAUGGUAUAGGUGGGUAGCAGAAAAGGUCUCUGGUUUGGCCAGAACGAUGAGCACCGUGAAGCUUUUCCGGUGAGGAGCUCAGCAACAAUGGCAGAAUGAAAUCUAGACCUCCAAACUUCAAAACUCUUGCACGAAUAGCUUCCUGGUGUAAUUCUAAGCAAAAUAGACUCUUGGUUCGACAAAAUUGAUGGAGAUUUGAGGGAGAACCGAGAGCUCAAAGUUUCGGAAUUUCUUGAGCUCGGUUGGG